rnacentral:tRNA from 1 species
ACCCAGAUAGCUUAACUAAAGCAUCGGUCUUGUAAGCCGAAGAUGAGAAUUAACCCUCUCCCUGAGUG